rnacentral:rRNA from 1 species
GAUGAACGCUGGCGGCGUGCCUAAUACAUGCAAGUCGAGCGGACGGACGAGAAGCUUGCUUCUCUGAUGUUAGCGGCGGACGGGUGAGUAACACGUGGAUAACCUACCUAUAAGACUGGGAUAAGUUCGGGAAACCGGAGCUAAUACCGGACAAUAUGUUGAACCGCAUGGUUCAAAAGUGAAAGACGGUCUUGCUGUCACUUAUAGAUGGAUCCGCGCUGCAUUAGCUAGUUGGUAAGGUAACGGCUUACCAAGGCAACGAUGCAUAGCCGACCUGAGAGGGUGAUCGGCCACACUGGAACUGAGACACGGUCCAGACUCCUACGGGAGGCAGCAGUAGGGAAUCUUCCGCAAUGGGCGAAAGCCUGACGGAGCAACGCCGCGUGAGUGAUGAAGGUCUUCGGAUCGUAAAACUCUGUUAUUAGGGAAGAAGAUAUGUGUAAGUAACUGUGCACAUCUUGACGGUACCUAAUCAGAAAGCCACGGCUAACUACGUG